GGGCCCGCACAAGCGGCGGAGCAUGCGGAUUAAUUCGAUGCAACGCGAAGAACCUUACCAAGGCUUGACAUGAACCGGAAAUACCUGGAAACAGGUGCCCCGCUUGCGGUCGGUUUACAGGUGGUGCAUGGUUGUCGUCAGCUCGUGUCGUGAGAUGUUGGGUUAAGUCCCGCAACGAGCGCAACCCUCGUUCUAUGUUGCCAGCGCGUUAUGGCGGGGACUCAUAGGAGACUGCCGGAGUCAACUCGGAGGAAGGUGGGGACGACGUCAAAUCAUCAUGCCCCUUAUGUCUUGGGCUUCACGCAUGCUACAAUGGCCGGUACAAAGGGUUGCGAUACUGUGAGGUGGAGCUAAUCCCAAAAAGCCGGUCUCAGUUCGGAUUGGGGUCUGCAACUCGACCCCAUGAAGUCGGAGUCGCUAGUAAUCGCAGAUCAGCAACGCUGCGGUGAAUACGUUCCCGGGCCUUGUACACACCGCCCGUCAAGUCACGAAAGUUGGUAACACCCGAAGCCGGUGGCCUAACCCCUUGUGGGAGGGAGCUGUCGAAGGUGGGACUGGCGAUUGGGACU
rnacentral:rRNA from 1 species